rnacentral:rRNA from 1 species
UACGUAGGGUGCGAGCGUUAAUCGGAAUUACUGGGCGUAAAGCGUGCGUAGGCGGUUCGCUGUGUCCGAUGUGAAAGCCCCGGGCUUAACCUGGGAAUGGCAUUGGAAACUGGCGGGCUUGAGUGCGGCAGAGGGGGGUGGAAUUCCGCGUGUAGCAGGUGAAAUGCGUAGAGAUCAUGAGGAAGACCAGUGGCGAAGGCGGGUCUCUGGACAGUUCCUGACACUGAGACACGAAGGCCAGGGGAGCAAACGGG